UUUAUUUAUGAGACAGAGAGAAAGAGAGAGAGAGAGACCAUAAGCAGGGAGGAGCGGCAGAGGGAGAAGCAGACUCCCCACUGAGCAGUGGUGCUGGAGGCCGUGGCGUGGCUGGCGGGAGGCACCGUGUACCGCGGGGAGACAGCCUCUCUGCUCUGCAACAUCUCAGUGCGCGGCGGCCCCCCGGGGCUGCGGCUGGCGGCCAGCUGGUGGGUGGAGCGGCCAGGGGACGACGAGCUGAGCCCCGGGCCUGCGCAGCUGGUGGGCGGCGUGGCCCAGGAUGGGGUGGCGGAGCUGGGGGUCCGGCCCGGAGGAGGCCCCGUGAGCGUGGAGCUGGUGGGGCCCCGAAGCCAUCGGCUGCGGCUGCACGGUCUGGGGCCCGAGGACGGAGGCGUGUACCACUGUGCCCCCAGCGCCUGGGUGCAGCACGCCGACCGCAGCUGGUACCAGGCGGGCAGUGCCCGCUCGGGGCCUGUCACGGUGUACCCCUACACUCACGCCCUGGACACCCUGUUUGUGCCCCUGCUGGUGGGCGCGGGGGUCGCCCUAGUCACCGGCGCCACGGUCCUCGGCACCAUCACCUGCUGCUUCAUGAAGAGGCUGAGAAAACGGUGAUCCCUGGCUCCUCAGGCCUUGCAGGUGCCCAGUGUCCUCCGGCCCAGCUCCAAGACAGCCUCCAGUCACCUGGCUGCCACCCCCUCCCUGCUCCCCUUCCUUUAAUUUAUUUGACCCCUUGCCCCCCACUCCUUCCUUCCCGACCCCCCCUCUGGCCUUCUGUUCUGUUCUUGAUCUCGGCCCGGCCCAGAGGGAGGCCAUUCCCUGGCCUAGAAUUAGUUUUUCUAAAAUGUGAAUAAACUUGUUUUAUAAAAAAAAAAAAAAAAAAAAAAAAAG
rnacentral:lncRNA from 1 species